rnacentral:lncRNA from 1 species
CACAUCCUGCAUAUGGAAAUUAAAACACUGACUGGGUUUUUUUAAUUUGCAUUUGGUCUGGUGUUUUAGGUCCCUCAUGAUAGACUGCCUCUCUGUUGUGUUAAAAUAUUGCAAAGGUGAUGGUUUUUGAAUGAUCCACCUCUCUAAGUGGCUGUAAUUUCAUUGCAAGUCCUCUGACAUCUUUUCUGGCUGAGAUUGGAAGAAAUCAGACCUAGAAAUUCAGAAUAAAGGAAUACACAAUUUCAUUCAGCUCCUUUUGGUGUUGGAACCAAACACAAGAGUCUAAUUAUUGAAAUAUUAUUAUUAAACAAUGUUUAAUAUUAUCCUCCUUUUUUCCAGCUGUAACUUGUGGUAAUUGGUCUCUGAAUGGAUUUUCUGUGGUGCUCAGAAUUUGACCCUUAAUGCCAGCAUUAGAUGGACAGUGGAAAGCUUGUAAAUUUUCAAGGUCUUCAGCCCUCUGUUGUCACAAGGUAAUGACUGGAAAGAAUACAAUGAAGGCCUUUAUCUUCACAUGAGAAUUAAAAGGCGAUCUAAUUGAAGUCAGCUUUGGUGAUCUACAGGGUGAAAUCUACAGUGAUUUUACAGGUAAACUUCAUUUCCCAGAAACUUCCAAGUCUAUCCAGGUCCUCAAAUAAAAAUUUUUCUUUUUCACA